rnacentral:rRNA from 1 species
AGGCAGCAGUAAGGAAUAUUGGUCAAUGGACGCAAGUCUGAACCAGCCAUGCCGCGUGAAGGAUUAAGGCCCUCUGGGUUGUAAACUUCUUUUAUAUGGGAAGAAAUGUACCGAUUCUUCGGUACUUGACGGUACUAUAGGAAUAAGCACCGGCUAACUCC